GACGAACGCUGGCGGCGUGCUUAACACAUGCAAGUCGAACGGAAAGGCCCUGCUUUUGUGGGGUGCUCGAGUGGCGAACGGGUGAGUAACACGUGAGUAACCUGCCCUUGACUUUGGGAUAACUUCAGGAAACUGGGGCUAAUACCGGAUAGGAGCUCCUGCUGCAUGGUGGGGGUUGGAAAGUUUCGGCGGUUGGGGAUGGACUCGCGGCUUAUCAGCUUGUUGGUGGGGUAGUGGCUUACCAAGGCUUUGACGGGUAGCCGGCCUGAGAGGGUGACCGGCCACAUUGGGACUGAGAUACGGCCCAGACUCCUACGGGAGGCAGCAGUGGGGAAUAUUGCACAAUGGGCGGAAGCCUGAUGCAGCAACGCCGCGUGCGGGAUGACGACCUUCGGGUUGUAAGCCGCUUUCGCCUGUGACGAAGCGUGAGUGACGGUAAUGGGUAAAGAAGCACCGGCUAACUACGUG
rnacentral:rRNA from 1 species